AUGGACUGGACCGGAGCGACCUUCAGAACCACCAUUGGAACCGGAGACGAUGGAGACGUCGGACCAGAGGGAGUGUCGACCUCUAGAGUGGAGAGAGCAUCGACCUCUAGAGUGGAGAGAGCGUCGACCUCUAAAGUGGAUAAGGCGACUUCAGACGAGACGGCUUCAGAGGCGACUUCAGACAAGACGGCUUCAGAGACGACUUCAGACACGUCGACUUCAGACGAGACGUCUUCAGAGGCGACUUCAGACGAGACGACUUCAGAGGAGACGACUUCAGACACGUCGACUUCAGACGAGAUGUCUUCAGUGAAGACUUCAGACAAGAUGGCUUCAGAGGCAACUUCAGACGAGACGACUUCAGACGAGACGGCUUCAGAGGCGACUUCAGACGAGACGACUUCAGACGAGACGGCUUCAGAGGCAACUUCAGACGAGGUGACUUCAGACGAGGCGACUUCAGACGAGUCGACUUCAGACACAUUGACUUCAGACGAGACGUCUUCAGAGGCGACUUCAGACGAGGCGACUUCAGAGGCGACUUCAGACGAGGCGACUUCAGACGAGACGACUUCAGAGGAGACGACUUCAGACACGUCGACUUCAGACGAGAUGUCUUCAGUGAAGACUUCAGACAAGAUGGCUUCAGAGGCAACUUCAGACGAGACGACUUCAGACGAGACAGCUUCAGAGGCAACUUCAGACGAGGCGACUUCAGACACGUCGACUUCAGACGAGACGUCUUCAGAGGCGACUUCAGACGAGGCGACUUCAGAGGCAACUUCAGAUGAGGCGACUUCAGACGAGACGACUUCAGAGGCAACUUCAGACAAGGCGACUUCAGACAAGACGACUUCAGACGAGACGACUUCAGACACGCCAACUUCAGACGAGACGUCUUCAGACACCUCGACUUCAGACAAGACGUCUUCAGAGGCGACUUCAGACGAGACGGCUUCAGAGGCAACUUCAGACAAGACGACUUCAGACGAGACGGUUUCAGAGACAACUUCAGACGAGGUGACUUCAGGCGAGACGGCUUCAGACACGUCGACCUCAAAGGAGACUUCAGAACAUGAGGAGGCGUCGAUUUCAGAACACGAGGAGGCGUCGACUUCAGAACAGGUGGAGGCGUCGACUUCAGAACAGGUGGAGGCGUCGACUUCAGAACAGGAAGGGGCGUUGACUUCAGAACAGGAAGGGGCGUCGACUUCAGAACAGGAAGGGGCGUCGACUUCAGAACACGAGGAGGUGUUGACUUCAGAACAGGAAGGGACGUCGACUACAGGACAGGACCGGACGUCGACCACCAUCAACUUCUGGUCCGGGGGCGUCGGCUUGUGA
rnacentral:lncRNA from 1 species